rnacentral:lncRNA from 1 species
AUUUGUCGACUUGUAUCGUACAGUACCGAGGUCCCGACGGAGGACCGGGCAUUUCCGAACUUUAAUUUUUUUUUACCGCGUGGUGAAGAAAUUUGGAGAAGCAAGGAAGAAGAAUAGAGGACAUUUUUUAAUCAAACUUUAACUUUAUUGGAAGGUAUUAUGGUUUAUUUAAUAUCAAUCCUUGUAGAAGAGUACUUAGAUUGCCAAUAUAGAUGAAAAUUUAGGACAACGAGCCCGAAUUUAAUGCGAUAUUUCAACAUAAAGUUUGUGCUUUUGCUUUGCACGUGGUUCGCUUUAAGGGCGAUUAUCGAACUCUAAACCGUGCUUUAAUUCAUAAUCAUUGUCGACCAAGUGAGUAAAAAGACUAAUUAAGAUCCAGAAUUGUGAGAUCUCUGAGUUCUUGCCGAAAAUUGUGUUUUUGUUCAUAUAUAUGCAGAAAAAGUCUUGCUUUUAUAGCAACAUUACAAUGUAUUUGAUUCUUGCUUGUGCAAAUUGUUACAAUAGGACAAAAUCCAGAAUUGUGUUUCUUGACAUCACUGCAGGCUGGUAGUGAAAAGUUAGGAAGUGCUUUGAUAGGUGGGCUAAUAAGAUUAAUAAAGCAAUACCGUAUGGGAUACGGGCAAAUCCGUGCAGGAUUGUGUGCUCCAUGCACAAGGGAUGUCGCGAGACUUUGGAAAGCGUAAAAAUACUCGAGCCGCUGGUAAGUGUAUUUUUACACUUUCCAAAAGUCGAGCAACAUCCCAAGUGCAUGGAUCAUGCUAUCCUGCUUGGAAAACCAUUUAGUAAUUGUUUUAUAAAAUAACUACAGUGAUACAAUGACAUUUUUCCAUGAAUCCCAAAAUGCAAAGGCAUUUUAAUUCCUUGUGCAAGAUAUAGCCUGAUCCUGCAUGGCUUAUUGACCAAUCAAAUUGCGUGUUUCACUGUAGUUAUUAUAUAAUAUAAAUUCUUAGGGUGGUUUGAAAAGAAGAUUGUUCUUUUGAAGCACAUCUACUCCAGACUCGAAAAUAUGCACCAGUAGCAGUGUAAAGCCUUUUUUCGACAUGUGCUGUGGCAAGGAUUCAGAGAAUGCUAAAAAAUUUGGACAGUAUUUGUUCAAUUUAAAAACAUAUUAACUUGAUUUACCAGUACAGCAGAUGCCUGGAGUCGAAAUGAAGUUGAAAAAAAUUCCAAUCAAAUUUUAACAUUUCCAAUUGGUCGCCAUUUUUCUGAUCAAUUUUGAACAUUACAAAAAAUGCGGUUCAGUUUUCAUAUCCUAAAAAAGUAGGAUAGGUAGGUCGAAUAAAACAAAUUUCUUCAAAUAUUUUUUGCUUUGACAUUGGUCAACAAUUGUUGUGAUCAGUUGGCAUAUUGCCCAGGGUUCAAAUUAGCGGCUCACUAUUCGCAAUUUACGAAUGCAAAUUCACUUUUUGCGAAUGCAAAAUCAUCCAUUUUGCAAAUGGCGUCUUGCAAAAACAAUGUGUCAAAGGUUGAUUUUCACAAUCACUUUGAAUGUAUUUUGCUAUAAUGGAGUAUUUUGCUGACUAUUAUUGUAAUUUUGUACUAGAAGGAUUGUGAAAUGGCUACAAUUUCUUCAGAAUUCAAAAUUCGCUACGAAACGACCACCAUUUUGUUUCUUGCAAGCAGUGUUUCCACUUUUCAAAACUGAAAUUUUCUUCAAAUGUGCAAGAAGGAAAUUUGCGAAUCGAUUCUUCCUGUCUAAUUUGAACCCUGUUGCCCCAACAUAUAAACAUUUCAAGAAGCACUAACUGUGAGCAACAGACAAUAUUUUUGGCAUCAAGUUACAUCAUAAAGCAAACAACAAAAAAUAGGGUAGGCAGGUAAGCAAACAACCCAACCAUAUCUAGAAAAAAAAAUAUUAGAGCAGAGAAAAUAGGAUUUCAGACUCUGAUGUUUAUAUUGGGGUUUUAACUUGCUAACCAAGCUAUUCACACCUUGUAGAUGUACAGUUCAAAUUCCAAGAAUGUUGCACAACCUCAUGAUUGUGAAAAAUGGACACAUUCCAAGAUCCUGAAUAAGAGGUAAGUGAUUUUUCUUCUAUUUAUUUCUAACCUCCUUGUAUUUUGUGGACAAUUUUCUUUGUAAUAUAUUAAUUUGUUUUGUAUUCUCAAUUUAGUGCAUUUUUUUUAUUUUCUAGAAUCUAGAUGUGUGUUGCAAUUUCAAAGAAUGUCUCGAGUUGUUGGCUGAAGAGUGAGGUGUUUUUGACCACAAAAGUGAACACUGUUAUUGGAAAGUAUAUAAAAGGUCUUAAUAUUUUCUUGUCUUAUCUUACAUGAAAUGUUUUGAACAUUAUAUAAUUGCCUGUGAUCAAUAGUUACAAAAAAACCAGCAGAAUAUUGCAAAAAUAGCAUGAGCAUGCUACUUAUGACACAAAAUGCAAACACAAUCUUUACACCUAAAUAUGGACUCUUUUUAUUGCACUCUUUUUAUUCUUUUAUUACACCACUAAUUCAACUUGUAUAAUUCUGGAAAAUUUUAGUUUCGUGCAUUUCUCAAUUAUUUGAUUAAGUUUUGUGUUGCUGCUGAUCAUAGAAAGUCUAUAAUUUUCAAAGCAUAUAAGAAUUUUGUGACCAAGCCAGAAAAUGACAAACUGUCAAAAAUUUUGUUCAACAGUGAUGAUUCGGUUUGGACAUGCAUUUUUCUGUUUUGGCAUAACUGCUAAAUCUUAAAUUUGUGUUUAUAUGUGUUCUCCUGAGAACAUAGAUGUUUCUACAUAUUUCCAAAGUUUUUGUGAAAUAUAAAAAAAUGAAAAGUUUGUCAGUAUUUGGCUUUGUUACAUCAGUUAAACAUUGAGAAGAUUGAGGUGGUUUUAUUACAAACUAAAGCAGUUACUUACAAAUAAGACGUGUGAUUUUUUAAAUUCUGGAUUGAGUAUUUUCUUUUAGUCA